rnacentral:rRNA from 1 species
AUGACCAAGAGAAAGAGGAACUACUAUCUGCUGCCUGACGAAGAGGACCCGGAAAGACCUGUCAAAAACUCUAUUGGAAAAGUGAUGUUUCUCACAGCGGUAGCAAGACCACGGUUUGAUGAAUAUGGGAACAUGACAUUCUCCGGAAAAAUUGGGGUAUGUCCAUUCGUGAGAGUGACUGCAGCGGCAAAAAGAAGCAAGAACAGGGAAAAAUGGACAUUGGAAACAAAGCCUGUCAUAGUGACGAGGGAUGUGAUGAGAGAGUACAUUAUAUAG